rnacentral:rRNA from 1 species
AUUGAACGCUAGCGGGAUGCUUUACACAUGCAAGUCGAACGAGUGGCGGACGGGUGAGUAAUAUAUCGGAACGUGGCCAGUAGCCGGGGAUAACUACUCGAAAGCGUGUCCAAUCCCCCAUACUAUUGGAGCGGCCGAUCACGGAUUAGCUAGUGGGUGGGGUAAAGGCUCACUAAGGCCACGAUCCGUAGCGGGUUUGAGAGGACGACCAGCCACACUGGGACUGCGACACGGCCCAGACUCCUACGGGAGGCAGGAGUGGGGAAUUUUGGACAAUGGGGGAAACCCUGAUCCAGCCAUCCCGCGUGUAUGAGAAGGCCUUCGGGUUGUAAAGUACUUUUGGCAGAGAAGCGGUAUCUGCAGAAUAAGCACCGGCUAACUACGUGCCAGCAGCCGCGGUAAUUC